AUUGAACGCUGGCGGCAGGCCUAACACAUGCAAGUCGAGCGGUAGAGAGAAGCUUGCUUCUCUUGAGAGCGGCGGACGGGUGAGUAAUGCCUAGGAAUCUGCCUAGUGGUGGGGGAUAACGUUCGGAAACGGACGCUAAUACCGCAUACGUCCUACGGGAGAAAGCGGGGGACCUUCGGGCCUCGCGCCAUUAGAUGAGCCUAGGUCGGAUUAGCUAGUUGGUGAGGUAAUGGCUCACCAAGGCUACGAUCCGUAACUGGUCUGAGAGGAUGAUCAGUCACACUGGAACUGAGACACGGUCCAGACUCCUACGGGAGGCAGCAGUGGGGAAUAUUGGACAAUGGGCGAAAGCCUGAUCCAGCCAUGCCGCGUGUGUGAAGAAGGUCUUCGGAUUGUAAAGCACUUUAAGUUGGGAGGAAGGGUAGUAACUUAAUGCGUUGCUACUUUGACGUACCG
rnacentral:rRNA from 1 species